GAUGAAUGCUGGCGGCGUGCCUAAUACAUGCAAGUCGAGCGAACAGAUGAGAAGCUUGCUUCUCUGAUGUUAGCGGCGGACGGGUGAGUAACACGUGGGUAACCUACCUAUAAGACUGGGAUAACUCCGGGAAACCGGGGCUAAUACCGGAUAAUAUUUUGAACCGCAUGGUUCAAUAGUGAAAGACGGUUUCGGCUGUCACUUAUAGAUGGACCCGCGCCGUAUUAGCUAGUUGGUAAGGUGACGGCUUACCAAGGCGACGAUACGUAGCCGACCUGAGAGGGUGAUCGGCCACACUGGAACUGAGACACGGUCCAGACUCCUACGGGAGGCAGCAGUAGGGAAUCUUCCGCAAUGGGCGAAAGCCUGACGGAGCAACGCCGCGUGAGUGAUGAAGGUCUUCGGGUCGUAAAACUCUGUUAUAAGAGAAGAACAAAUUGUAGAGUAACUGCUACAGUCUUGACGGUAUCUUAUCAGAAAGCCACGGCUAACUACGUGCCAGCCGCCGCGGUAA
rnacentral:rRNA from 1 species